rnacentral:lncRNA from 1 species
AUCAGUAUGGAAAAAAUAAUCUAUGCUCAGAGGGCCUUACAAAUAAUUUUUGCAGAGAAAGAAGCUAGUGUGGAAGGAGUGUCUUCCACUUUGGAAGAUGAAGAAUUUUCAGAAUAUGAGGAUCAUGUCUCUGUCCAUUCGCAGUCUGACAGUGAGUUGGAAGAAGAGGAUGAGAUUGACCCUCAGCCAGCCCCAGGACCAGCCCGUCAGCAGCCAGCCCCAGGACCAGCCUGUCAGCAGCCUGCCCCAGGACCAGCCCGUCAGCAGCCAGCCCCAGGACCAGCCCGUCAGCAGCCUGCCCCAGGACCAGCCCGUCAGCAGCCUGCCCCAGGACCAGCCCGUCAGCAGCCUGCCCCAGGACCAGCCCGUUAGCAGCCUGCCCCAGGACCAGCCCGUCAGCAACCAGCCCCAGGACCAGCCCGUCAGCAGCCUACCCCAGGACCAGCCCCUCAGCAGCCUGCCCCAGGACCAGCCGUCAGCAGCCUGCAGGAGGAAAAAUAUGGAUGUAAAAGAAUUGUGACAUUGAAUGGUCUUCCUGCCCAAGGAAUGAGCCACCCCGCAUGGCUGCCAAUGUGAUAAGGAUACAACCAGGGCCGACGCGGAUGGUGGUUACUCAUGCGCAAGACGUAAAGUCUUCUUUUGAACUGAAUAAUUUGGAGGGAAGGCAUGUUUUUGGAGAGAAAUAGAAGGAGAUGGACCAAACUCAUUUACAUGCAUACUUUGGGGUUCGUAUACUUGCUGGUGUUUUCAGAUCCAAUGGGGAGUCCACAGAAUCUCUGUGGGAUGCAGAAACUGGCAGAGCACUUUUCCGUGCAAUAAUGUCCCUGGAAAACUUCCACAUUAUUUCCAGGAUUAUCCGCUUUGAUAACCCGAGACACCAGACCAGCUUGGCGGCAGAGAGACAAGCUAGCUGUAAUCAGGUCAGUGUAGGACAUGAGGGUGGACUGCCUUCCCCUGUUUUACAACCCUGGGCUGAAUGUUACUGUUGAUGAUAAGCUUAUGCAAUUUAGGAGCUGCUGCCUCUUCAGGCAGUACAUACCGUCUAAACCCGCAAAAUAUGGUAUCAAGAUCUGGGCUGCCUGUGAUGCUGCUUCAUCAUAUGCGUGGAACUUGCAAGUGUAUAUGGGGAAGCGGGUUGUCCUGGACGUGACACAAGGACUCCGUGGCCACAACAUCACAUGCAAUAACUUUUUUACUUUGAAAAAGCUGGGACAGGAGCUCCUCAAGAGGAAGCUGACAAUAGUAGGAACAGUAUGAAAAAACAAGUCAGAGCUCACACCUCAGCUGUUGAAGACACGGAACAGGCCUAUCAAUUACUCUAAAUUUGUGUUCAUGGCCGACACGUCCCUAGUGUCCUACGUGCCAAAGAAAGGCCAAAAUGUGGUACUCAUGAGUAUGCUGCAUAGGGAUGGGAGAAUCUGUGGCCAAGAACAUAAAAAAACAGAAAUUAUAAUGGAUUACAAUGCCACAAAAGGAGAGGUGGACAAUUUAGACAAGCUGGAGACUGGCUACAGCUGCAAAAGAAGAACCCUGAGGCAAAUCCAGAGGAGGCAACAUAUCCCAAGGACCCCAGCUUCUGCAGCCAUCGUGAGGAGGAUUCAGGAGGAGGACGCUGGUGCCCCAUCCGCCCGAACCACAGAACCAACAACUCCAAAACCGGAAAUUGCAGCCGGUAGCAACAAGAAGAAGCGCUGUGAUGUAUGUGGACCCAAGGACAGGAAGACACAAUACACAUGCAUCAAGUGCAAGAAAUACAUUUGUAACACACACACAGUAAAACUCUGUCCCUCAUGUGGUGUGUAGACCGGCCUUCAUUUGUGUUCAAUCAAUCAAAUUUCAAUCAAAUGUAUUUAUAAAGCCCUUUUUACAUCAGCCGAUGUCACAAAGUGCUAUACAGAAACCCAGCCUAAAACCCCAAACAGCAAGCAAUGCAAAUGUAGAAGUACGGUGGCUAGGAAAAACUCUCUAGAAAAGCAGGAACCUAGGAAUAAACCUAGAGAGGAACCAGGCUCUGAGGGGUGGCCAGUCGUCUUCUGGCUGUCCAGGGUGGAGAUUAUAACAGUACAUGGCCAAGAUGUUUAAACGUUCAUAGAUGACCAGCAUGGUCAAAUAAUAUUAAUCACAGUGGUUGUAGAGGGUGCAACAGGUCAGCACCUCAGGAUUAAAUGUAAUUUGGCUUUUCAUAGCCAAUCAUUCAGAGUUAAGAGGCAGUAGGUGCGGUAGAGAGAGAAAACAGCAGGUCCGGGACAAGGUAGCAUGUCCAGUGAACAGGUCAGGGUUCGGCAGAACAGUUGAAACUGGGGACAGCAAGCAGUCACCAGGCCAGGUAGUCCUGAUGCAUGGUCGUAGGGCUCAGGUCCUCCGAGAGAAGAGAGAAAGAGAGAGAAUUAGAGGGAGCAUACUUUCAAAUUCACACAGGACACCGGAUAAGACCAGAGAAAUACUCCAGAUAUAACAGACUGACUAACCCUAGCCCCUGACACAUAAACUACUGCAGCAUAAAUACUGGAGGCUGAGACAGGAGGGGACGGGAGACACUGUGGUCCCGUCCGACUUACUCCCGGACAGGGCCAACCAGGCAUGAUAUAACCUCACCCACUUUGCCAAAGCACAGCCCCCACACCACUAGAGGGAUAUCUUCAAACCACCAACCUACUACCCUGAGAUGGGGCUCAUUUAUAAUUUCCAUUAAAUACUGUAUGUAAAAAUGUUCCUUCCAAUUUGUUCAGUUCAAAGCAAUAAACAUCA